AAGACUGAUUUUUGCAUAUCUUGCAGAAAAUCAACCACCUGUUAGAGGAGGGAAACAGAGCAGGAAGGAGCUACGCUGUAGGAAGCAAAGAUGAACUUGAGUUUCACUUCUUAGUGCCUUUACUCAGGGGAGAGGCCAUCACUUGAAGAUGCUGGGUUUCCUGCUCCUUCUCCUGGGACGAGGUUCUGUGUUCAGUGCUGUCAUCUCUCAAAAGCCAAGCAGGGAUGUCUGUCAACGUGGAACCUCCGUGACAUUCCAGUGUCAAGUCGAUAGCCAAGUCACCAUGAUGUUCUGGUACCGUCAGCGACCUGGACAGAGCAUGACACUGAUUGCAACUGCAAAUCAGGGCUCUGAGGCCACAUAUGAGAGUGGAUUUGUCAUUGACAAGUUUCCCAUCAGUCGCCCAAACCUAACAUUCUCAACUCUGACUGUGAGCAACACGAGCCCUGAAGACAGCAGCAUAUACCUCUGCAGCUGGUUUGCGUGCCGGGGUGCACCUCCGUGCUCCUACGAGCAGUACUUCGGGCCGGGCACCAGGCUCACGGUCAUAGGUGAGAUUCGGGCGUCUCUCCACCUCCCAGCCCCUGGGUCCCCGGGGUCGGAGGGCAGACCGGAGCUAGAGGAGCUGGGUGUCCGGAGCGGGAGGAGCUGCGUGUCCGGGGUCAGCUCUGCAGCGUCACCUCCCUGCUCCUGGGAAGACACUGGGGAAGAGGGAAGGGGUGGGCAGGUGCUCAGAGUCCGGGAAGCUGAGCAGAGGGUAAGGCCGCUUUUAAUCUUUUUUCUGGGGUGUUUAGAGAGAAGGCGAACGAUGGAGAAGAGAGAAUUUGUUAGGAUUCUGGGAGAGGCGAAACUGGAGAGGACGAAGGGAAAUCCUGGUUUGGGGAAUGGGUAGGAAUGUGGGUAACUGCUACCGGUAGGCAAAAAGAGCUGAGAGGGCUGGGAGCAGUGCGGGUGGGCAGGGGUCAGCAUUGCGGGCAGGCGGGUGGAUGUCAGGUGGCAGAAAUCCUACAGCCGAGGGUGCAGUAGAACAGAGCAGAAAAAGCCUGCCAAACAAAAGUGGGACAGAGAGGCCAAAAAGAGAGAUGAACAUGAGUCAGGAAAGAAUGAAAGUUUACUCUUUACAAGUGUAGAUCUAUAAUCCGACUUAAAACUCCUGUUCCUGGUUCCUAUUCCUCCUAAACCAGAGAUCCCUGGGUCCAGGGUGAGGGCACAGUAUUCAUGCUUGCCCAUGGGCUGGUCAGCAAAGAGGUGCUGACCUGAGAGUAGGGCACAUAACCUCAGCCACUGGGGUAUACUUACCACCCCUGCCUCCAUGUAGCUCCCUCCCCUAUCCUGAAAUCUCCCUUUAGCAGACUAAGUAUUCUAGGAUAAACAGCCCAGAAGUUCAGGGAGUUCAUUUGCCACAAACACACAUUUAAAAUGCGGACAUUUUUGCCUGAGAGACAAGGAAAAUUCUCUGGAAGAUUUUAGGCCCUGAGAGCUGAAAAGGGGCCCUAAACGUUACCUGGUGAGGACUGCCCUGAGGCCAGAGAAGAGAACUCACGAUAUUGGUAUAUUAACCUGUACCAUUUGUAAUUAGGCUGUCAUUAAGCCGGAUGUAAUGGGGCUCAGCUACAGUGAAGUGUAUCCAG